UUUUGUAUCUAUUUUUGUUAAAUUGUUGUUUUGAUUUAAGUAUUAUUUGUAAUUAUGAGUGGAAAAGUCGUUAGCAAAGCACAGUUAGAAAUCCUGGUUUGCUACAUGGAACUAAAUCCUAAAUUAUACCGCAAUCAAUUGCUGAAUGAUUUCACCCACAGCGAUAAGAAAAAACUUUGGGAAGAGCUUUCUUUAAAGUUGAAUGCGGAAGGUUCAUGCUCAAAAAGCACAGAAAAAUGGAUGCGUACAUGGAUUGAUUACAAAUCCAAUGUAAAGGCGAAGGCCAGUGCAAUAAAAAACAGCCAAAAAAAAAACAGGAGGAGGCCCUGCGUCUAGAAAAUCAUUAUCUGAUUUGGAAACAAGAACGGCAGCCCUGAUAGGGGAUUCAUUGCUUUAUGGGAUGCAAGAAAUUGUUGAUCCUGAUACUGAUUCCUUUAUUGAAAGUCAACAGACCCCUUGUGGAAGCAAGAGGAAGAGUUCGCAGGAAAGUGAAUCUGUGAUCAAGAGGCCAAGGAGCAGCAACGACACUUUGUUGCAAGAACUUCAGAGCAACCAGCAAAGAGUUCUGGAGUCAAAUGCUCAAAUUGCUGAAAGUUUAGGGCGCAUCGCUGUGUG